GAUGAACGCUAGCGGCAGGCCUAAUACAUGCAAGUCGAACGGUAACAGGUUAAGCUGACGAGUGGCGAACGGGUGAGUAAUGCAUCGGAACGUGCCCAGUCGUGGGGGAUAACGCAGCGAAAGCUGUGCUAAUACCGCAUACGAUCUGCGGAUGAAAGCGGGGGACCUUAGGGCCUCGCGCGAUUGGAGCGGCCGAUGUCAGAUUAGGUAGUUGGUGGGGUAAAGGCCCACCAAGCCAACGAUCCGUAGCUGGUUUGAGAGGACGACCAGCCACACUGGGACUGAGACACGGCCCAGACUCCUACGGGAGGCAGCAGUGGGGAAUUUUGGACAAUGGGGGAAACCCUGAUCCAGCCAUUCCGCGUGUGCGAUGAAGGCCUUCGGGUUGUAAAGCACUUUGGCAGGAAAGAAAUCGCACGGGUUAAUAACCCGUGUGGAUGACGGUACCUGCAGAAUAAGCACCGGCUAACUACGUG
rnacentral:rRNA from 1 species